GCCUCGGAGACAGCGAAGCUUGACUCUCCAUAGAACACAGCACUGCUCUGCCCACUGAGCCCAAAGCAAGGGGGCGAUGAUUUCUGGAAGAUGGUGUUUGGUUCUAGCAGGUGUUGGGAUCCUAAGAGGUCUUCUAGUCACCUCUCCAGCAACUCCACAGAAGCUGACCAUCUGGCUGCUGCUUUGCUAUUUGUGACUCCAUAAGAGAACUCCUUGGUCAAGUGAUGCCCAUCUCCAAUCUGGAUUCAGAAGAGGAGAGCACAACCCUGCCUCUUCCCAUUCUGUCUCCCAGCACCUAUAUGUUUCUCCAACUAAUAGCA